rnacentral:rRNA from 1 species
UACGAGGGGGCAAAUGUUGUUCGGAAUCACUGGGCGUAAAGGGAGCGUAGGCGGGUUUUUAAGUCAGGUGUUUAAUCCCGGGGCCCAACCCCGGACAGGCACUUGAAACUGGGAAUCUUGAAUAGUGGAGAGGUCGGUGGAAUUGGAGGUGUAGCGGUGGAAUGCGUAGAGAUCUCCAAGAACACCCGUUGCGAAGGCGGCCGACUGGACACAUAUUGACGCUGAGGCUCGAAAGCAUGGGGAGCAAACAGG